CAGGCUUAACACAUGCAAGUCGACCCUUAGCAUGGUCUUAGCUUGCUAAGGCCGAUGGCGACCGGCGCACGGGUGAGUAACACGUAUCCAACCUGCCGUCUACUCUUGGACAGCCUUCUGAAAGGAAGAUUAAUACAAGAUGGCAUCAUGAGUCCGCAUGUUCACAUGAUUAAAGGUAUUCCGGUAGACGAUGGGGAUGCGUUCCAUUAGAUAGUAGGCGGGGUAACGGCCCACCUAGUCUUCGAUGGAUAGGGGUUCUGAGAGGAAGGUCCCCCACAUUGGAACUGAGACACGGUCCAAACUCCUACGGGAGGCAGCAGUGAGGAAUAUUGGUCAAUGGGCGAGAGCCUGAACCAGCCAAGUAGCGUGAAGGAUGACUGCCUUAUGGGUUGUAAACUUCUUUUAUAAAGGAAUAAAGUCGGGUAUGGAUACCCGUUUGCAUGUACUUUAUGAAUAAGGAUCGGCUAACUCCGUGCCAGCAGCCGCGGUAAUACGGAGGAUUCGAGCGUUAUCCGGAUUUAUUGGGUUUAAAGGGAGCGUAGAUGGAUGUUUAAGUCAGUUGUGAAAGUUUGCGGCUCAACCGUAAAAUUGCAGUUGAUACUGGAUAUCUUGAGUGCAGUUGAGGCCGGCGGAAUUCGUGUUGUAGCGGUGAAAUGCUUACAUAUCACGAAGAACUCCGAUUGGGAAGGCAGCCUGGUAAGCUGCAACUGACAUUGAGGCUCGAAAGUGUGGGUAUCAAACAGGGAUUAGAUACCCUGGUAGUCCACACGGUAAACGAUGAAUACUCGCUGUUUGCGAUAUACGGCAAGCGGCCAAGCGAAAGCGUUAAGUAUUCCACUUGGGGAGUACGCCGGCAACGGUGAAACUCAAAGGAAUUGACGGGGGCCCGCACAAGCGGAGGAACAUGUGGUUUAAUUCGAUGAUACGCGAGGAACCUUACCCGGGCUUAAAUUGCAGAUGAAUUACGGUGAAAGCCGUAAGCCGCAAGGCAUCUGUGAAGGUGCUGCAUGGUUGUCGUCAGCUCGUGCCGUGAGGUGUCGGCUUAAGUGCCAUAACGAGCGCAACCCUUGUUGUCAGUUACUAACAGGUUCUGCUGAGGACUCUGACAAGACUGCCAUCGUAAGAUGUGAGGAAGGUGGGGAUGACGUCAAAUCAGCACGGCCCUUACGUCCGGGGCUACACACGUGUUACAAUGGGGGGUACAGAGGGCCGCUACCACGCGAGUGGAUGCCAAUCCCAAAAACCUCUUUCAGUUCGGACUGGAGUCUGCAACCCGACUCCACGAAGCUGGAUUCUCUAGUAAUCGCGCAUCAGCCACGGCGCGGUGAAUACGUUCCCGGGCCUUGUACACACCGCCCGUCAAGCCAUGGGAGCCGGGGGUACCAAAAGUGCGUAACCGCGAGGAGCGCCCUAGGGUAAAACUGGU
rnacentral:rRNA from 1 species